rnacentral:rRNA from 1 species
UACGUAGGGUCCGAGCGUUGUCCGGAGUUACUGGGCGUAAAGGGCGCGCAGGUGGCGGUGUUGGCCCGGCGUGAAAGCCCCCGGCUCAACUGGGGAGGGUCACUUGAUACUGAUCGACUCGAAGGCAGGAGAGGGAAGCGGAAUUCCCGGUGUAAUGGUGAAAUGCGUAGAUAUCGGGAGGAACACCAGUGGCGAAGGCGGCUUGCCAGAACGCGCUCGACGGUGAGGGAUGAAAGCUGGGGGAGCAAACCGG